AUGGCUCCUCCGGCCACGCCUCUCCCCUUCCUCGUCCUCCUCGCCACGCUCCUCGCGGCCGCCCCCCUCUUGCCGCCGGCGGCGGCGGCCGAGCCCGAGGCCUUCGACGUCCGCCGCCACCUCUCCACCGUCACCAGGUACGAUGUGUCCAGGGCGUCCAACAGCGUGGUCUCCGCGCCGGCUAUCUCCGACGAGUGCCGCGUGAUCCACCUCAAUCUCGUCGCAAGACAUGGGACUCGUGCUCCUACCAAGAAGAGAAUCAAGGAGUUGGAUAGGCUGGCUGUGCGGUUGGGGACUUUAGUGGAUGAGGCAAAACAAGGACCUGACACUGCUUCUCUGAAGAAAAUUCCAUCAUGGAUGAAGGGGUGGGAGUCACGUUGGAAGGGUAGGGUCAAAGGGGGUGAACUGGUUAGCGAAGGUGAGGAAGAGCUGUUCAAUUUUGCCAACCGAGUGAAGGAGAGGUUUCAAGACCUGUUUGAUGAGGAAUAUCAUCCAGACGUGUACUCAAUAAGAGCAACCCAGGUUCCUCGAGCAUCAGCUAGUGCAGUAGCAUUUGGUUUGGGGCUACUUUCUGGGAAAGGAAAGCUUGGAGCAGGAAAUAACCGUGCCUUCUCUGUUCUGAGCGAGAGUCGUGCAAGUGAUAUUUGUCUGCGAUUCUUUGAUAGCUGUAAAACAUACAAGGACUACAGGAAAAGAAAGGAACCUGAUGUUGACAAGCAAAAGGAACCAAUUCUAGAACAUGUCACAUCUGCUUUAGUCAGCCGUUAUCACCUCAAGUUUACAACACAGGAUGUUUCUUCCCUCUGGUUCCUCUGCAAACAGGAAGCAUCUUUACUGAAUAUUACCAAUCAAGCUUGUCAACUUUUCAAUGAAGAUGAGGUUCAUUUGCUAGAGUGGACAGAUGAUUUGGAGGGUUUUGUGCUUAAAGGUUAUGGUGAGUCAAUAAACUACAAAAUGGGACUGCCAUUGCUCAAGGAUGUUGUCCAAUCAAUGGAAGAAGCAAUCAUAGCUAAAGAAGAGAACUUCCCUGAUGGUACGUAUGAGAAGGCAAGGCUCCGAUUUGCACACGCAGAAACUCUUGUUCCUUUCACAUGUCUACUAGGUCUUUUUCUUGAAGGAUCAGAUUUUGAGAAGAUACAGCGGGAGGAGCCAUUGGAUCUACCUCCGAUGCCACCACAGAGAAGAAAUUGGAAGGGCGCACUUGUAGCACCUUUUGCUAGCAACAAUAUGUUGGCUUUAUACCAAUGCCCUGGCAAUGAUGGCAAAAAAACAUCUCAGGACCAAAAAAAUUCAUAUUUUGUGCAAGUUCUACACAAUGAAGCCCCAGUUUCGAUGCCGGGCUGCGGCAACAAGGAUUUAUGCCCGUUCGAGGAGUUCAAGGAAAAGAUAGUGAAGCCGCACCUGGAGCACGACUACGAUAUGCUAUGCAAGAAGCCGGUGGCGGCAGCAGAGGAGGAGCCAUCCUCUUUCAGCUCCAAGCUCAACUUCUUCCUGGACCUGCUCUCGCGGAAAGGUUACCGUGUAAAGGGGCAAGAUGUUAAGACGGAACUGUAG
rnacentral:rRNA from 1 species